UAUAUAUGUGUGUGUGUGUGUGUAUGUGUAUAUAUAUAUAUAUAUGGCUAUUUAUUCAACAUGUAUUCUUCAUGUA
rnacentral:miRNA from 1 species